CCCUUAGAUGUUCUGGGCCGCACGCGCGCUACACUGAUGCAUUCAACGAGUUUUUCCUGGUCCGAGAGGAAUGGGUAACCUUUUGAAAGUGCAUCGUGCUAGGGAUAGACUAUUGCAAUUAUUGGUCUUCAACGAGGAAUUCCUAGUAGACGUAGUUCAUCAGACUGCAUCGAUUACGUCCCUGCCCUUUGUACACACCGCCCGUCGCUCCUACCGAUUGGAUGAUCCGGUGAGCUAUUCGGACCUUCGCUUCGUCGAUUUUCGGCUUUGUGAGGGAGAGUCUCGCGAACCUUAUCAUCUAGAGGAAGGAGAAGUCGUAACA
rnacentral:rRNA from 1 species